AUUGAACGCUGGCGGCAUGCUUUACACAUGCAAGUCGAACGGCAGCGCGGGCUUCGGCCUGGCGGCGAGUGGCGAACGGGUGAGUAAUAUAUCGGAACGUACCCAAGAGUGGGGAUAACGUAGCGAAAGUUACGCUAAUACCGCAUACGAUCCAAGGAUGAAAGCAGGGGACCGCAAGGCCUUGUGCUCCUGGAGCGGCCGAUAUCUGAUUAGCUAGUUGGUGAGGUAAAGGCUCACCAAGGCAACGAUCAGUAGCUGGUCUGAGAGGACGACCAGCCACACUGGAACUGAGACACGGUCCAGACUCCUACGGGAGGCAGCAGUGGGGAAUUUUGGACAAUGGGGUCAACCCUGAUCCAGCAAUGCCGCGUGAGUGAAGAAGGCCUCGGGUUGUAAAGCUCUUUUGUCAGGGAAGAAAAGGCUGUGGCUAAUAUCCACAGCUGCUGACGGUACCUGAAGAAUAAGCACCGGCUAACUACGUGCCAGCAGCCGCGGUAAUACGUAGGGUGCAAGCGUUAAUCGGAAUUACUGGGCGUAAAGCGUGCGCAGGCGGUUUCGUAAGUCUGUCGUGAAAAUCCCCGGGUCUUAACCUGGGGAAUGGCGAUGGAGACUGCGAGGCUAGAGUUUGGCAGAGGGGGG
rnacentral:rRNA from 1 species